UACGAAGGGGGCUAGCGUUGUUCGGAAUUACUGGGCGUAAAGCGCACGUAGGCGGAUAUUUAAGUCAGGGGUGAAAUCCCAGAGCUCAACUCUGGAACUGCCUUUGAUACUGGGUAUCUUGAGUAUGGAAGAGGUAAGUGGAAUUGCGAGUGUAGAGGUGAAAUUCGUAGAUAUUCGCAGGAACACCGGUGGCGAAGGCGGCGAUCUGGACGAUGACUGACGCUGAGACGCGAAAGCGUGGGGAGCAAACAGG
rnacentral:rRNA from 1 species